ensembl:lncRNA
CAACAAACCUCUAACCCUGGGCAGAGUAACACACCUGGCCCAGGUAUACACACCUCAACCAGAACACAGCAACAAACCUCUAACCCUGGGCAGAGUAACACACACCUGGCCCAGGUAUACACGCCUCAACCAGAACACAGCAACACACCUCUAACCCUUAGACUGGAGAAGAAAGACUAAGGCGUUACCAGGGGUGGAGUCUCGAAGGGCAACGGCCCAAUCAGACCAAAGCCCGGCCAGCAGCAGAGUCUGACACUACCCAGAAAUCCCCACCCCUACCCAAUCCCCCAAUCAGAACCCCCGAGAAGCUCAGACGUGAGAGUGCUAAGCCAAUCAGACAGAGCGAGAAGAAUGUGAGGGGACUGUCUGGGGCAGUGGCUAUUGUGAAGAGAGAGAGAGGCAGACCGAAGGUUACUAGCUCUCCAGCUACACCUGUACAGACCAGCCUUGCAGAACAGAUCAGCCUAGAGGGAGAAACAAGGAGGAGGAAGAAAAAGAGGAGAGUAGAAGCCUCAGCUGGGGUGGGAGAAAGGACCAGAGCCAGGGAGGACAAGCAAGAAACAGAGCCAGCGAGGACAAGCGAGAAACAGAGCCAGCGAGGACAAGCGAGAAACAGAGCCAGCGAGGACAAGCGAGAAACAGAGCCAGC